GGGCCCGCACAAGCGGUGGAGCAUGUGGUUUAAUUCGAUGAUACGCGAGGAACCUUACCAGGGCUUAAAUGUAGGUUGCAUGAUCUAGAGAUAGAUCUUUCUUCGGACUACCUACAAGGUGCUGCAUGGUUGUCGUCAGCUCGUGCCGUGAGGUGUCAGGUUAAGUCCUAUAACGAGCGCAACCCCUGUCGUUAGUUACCAGCAAUUAAAGUUGGGUACUCUAGCGAGACUGCCGGUGCAAACCGUGAGGAAGGUGGGGAUGACGUCAAAUCAUCACGGCCCUUACGUCCUGGGCUACACACGUGCUACAAUGGCCGGUACAGAGAGCAGCCACUACGCGAGUAGGAGCGAAUCUUCAAAGCCGGUCUCAGUUCGGAUCGCAGUCUGCAACUCGACUGCGUGAAGCUGGAAUC
rnacentral:rRNA from 1 species